CUCAUUGCCAAUAUAGUCAUCUGGGGCAUUUGGGCUAAAAUAUGGAUUUUGAGGGGCCUCUAGUAGGGAGCCACUAUUCAACCUAGCACGGUACUGUUCAUUCAUCCUGUGCCGUGGCGGCAGCCUGGACAGUCACCUGCGAGCUGGGACCGAAGCGCAUCAACAACACGGACAUGGUCUCCUCUUUCCCUGCUGUUUCAUCCCUACAGUUUCCUUUUGACAUGACACACUGAUCAUCAGGUUAUCAGUUCUUCCUAUAAAUACCUUUUCGUGCAAUUGUCUGGGAGUAUUUGAGGCACCGGUGAAAUAAAUAGUGUGACAGGUUCCACCAGCUUCAAAUGAGUCCCUGCUCAGUAUGGUUCGUUAUCCCUGCUCGGGAAGGAAUUGCUCCUCAAGGCUGUCUGCACUCGGAGAUUUUGUCACUCCAUCUGCUCCCUGGCUGAGUGACAAUCUGCUGCUGCCAGCCCUCUGCUCACCAGCAGGACGGCGAGAAUGUCUCCAGGUGCCCGUGGACGCACCUGAGCUCCAGCAUCCCUUGACUGAGUUACUAAAAAGUGAACAGAUUCAGAGAGGAAAGAGCUAAAGGUGGGGAGAU